GAUGAACGCUGGCGGUAUGCUUAACACAUGCAAGUCGAACGGUCACUUCGGUGAUAGUGGCGGACGUGUGAGUAACGCGUGAGAAUCUGUCCUCAGGUCGGGUACAACAGUUAGAAAUGACUGCUAAUACCGGAUGUGCCUUUGCGUGAAAGAUUUAUUGCCUGAAAAAGAGCUCGCGUCAGAUUAGCUCGUAGGUGGUGUAAGAGACGACCUAGGAUCCGAUCUGUAGCUGGUCUGAGAGGACGAUCAGCCACACUGGAACUGAGACACAGACUCGACUCCGACGCGACGGAGCAGUGGGGAGUUUUAUGCGCUGAGCGAAGACCUAACGACGCAACAUCGCGGGAGGGACGAAGGCGGUUGUGUAGUACAUCUCUUUUCUCCAGGGAGAUGAUGACGGUACUUGGGGAAUAAGCAUCGGCUAACUAUGUG
rnacentral:rRNA from 1 species